rnacentral:rRNA from 1 species
GACCGCGGGCUGGAUCUCUCGGGGUUACAGCCUUGCUGAAUUAUUCACCCUUGUCUUUUGCGUACUUCUUGUUUCCUUGGUGGGUUCGCCCACCACUAGGACAAACAUAAACCUUUUGUAAUUGCAAUCAGCGUCAGUAACAAAUUAAUAAUUACAACUUUCAACAACGGAUCUCUUGGUUCUGGCAUCGAUGAAGAACGCAGCGAAAUGCGAUAAGUAGUGUGAAUUGCAGAAUUCAGUGAAUCAUCGAAUCUUUGAACGCACAUUGCGCCCUUUGGUAUUCCAAAGGGCAUGCCUGUUCGAGCGUCAUUUGUACCCUCAAGCUUUGCUUGGUGUUGGGCGUCUUGUCUCUAGCUUUGCUGGAGACUCGCCUUAAAGUAAUUGGCAGCCGGCCUACUGGUUUCGGAGCGCAGCACAAGUCGCACUCUCUAUCAGCAAAGGUCUAGCAUCCAUUAAGCCUUUUUUUCAACUUUGACCUCGGAUCAGUA